AGAGCAUAGGGCGGAUGCCCUGGCACCAAGCGCCGAUGAAGGACGUGGCAAGCUGCGAAAAGCCACGGUGAGCCGCAAGCAGGCUUCGACCCGUGGAUGUCCGAAUGUGGAAACACGGCAUACGGAAGGUAUGUCAGCAUAAGAUGAAUCCAUAGUCUUAUGCGGGGAACCCGGUGAACUGAAACAUCUAAGUAACCGGAGGAAGAGAAAGUAAGAACGAUUCCCUCAGUAGCGGCGAGCGAACGGGGAAGAGCCCAAACCAGAGAGCAUGCUCUUUGGGGUUGCGGGCCGGCAUAAUCUAUUGUGGAGUUCUAGUCGAAUAGGGAAGGAAAGCCCAGCCAGAGAGCGUAACAGCCGCGUAGAUGAAAGGACAAAGCAGGAAGCCGGUACCAGAGUACCGCAGGACACGAGAAAUCCGGCGGGAAGCAGGGGGGACCACCCUCCAAGGCUAAAUACGACUUGGUGACCGAUAGCGCAUAGUACCGUGAGGGAAAGGUGAAAAGAACCCCGGGAGGGGAGUGAAAAAGAACCUGAAACCCUAUGUUUACAAGCAGAGGAAGCACGAUAUAGGUGCGACCUCGUACUUUUUGUAGAACGGACCGGCGAGUUGCGCCUGUGCAGCAAGGUUAAGAACUGAAGGUUUGAAGCCGAAGCGAAAGCGAGUCUGAAUAGGGCGAAAAAGUUGCACGGGGCAGACCCGAAACCGGGUGACCUAUCCAUGGCCAGGUUGAAGUGAGCGUAAAAGUUCAUGGAGGACCGAACCAGACGUCUGUUGAAAAAGGCGGGGAUGAGUUGUGGAUAGGGGAGAAAUUCCAAUCGAACCCGGAGAUAGCUGGUUCUCCUCGAAAUAGCUUUAGGGCUAGCCUCGUAUUAGAUACAUGGAGGUAGAGCACUGAAUGGAAGCGGGAGCCUCAAAGCUUACCAAAUCUUAUCAAACUGCGAAUGCCAUGAUAUUGAUGUACGGGAGUCAGUCCGCGAGAGAUAAGUUCCGCGGGCAAAAGGGGAACACCCCAGAUCGUCCGCUAAGGUCCCAAAGUACAUGUUAAGUGGAUAAGGAUGUGUAAUUGCUCAGACAACCAGGAUGUUGGCUUAGAAGCAGCCAUACAUUUAAAGAGUGCGUAAUAGCUCACUGGUCGAGUGGUUGUGCGCCGAAGAUGUCCGGGGCUAAAACAUGUCACCGAAGCGGCGGAUUGACUGCUAUGAUUUCUGCAGUCGGAAAUCUUCCUCGCGCGAGCGGGAAGACGGGAAGAGAGGCGCAAGAGAAAAUCGAGCGCGAGUCGAUUCCCACAAGCUAGAAAUGGCACCGAAGGUGGAAAUCAUAGCAGUCAGUGGUAGAGGAGCAUUGUAUGUAGGACGAAGCACGACCGAGAGGACGUGUGGACAGCAUAGAAGAGAGAAUGCCGGUAUGAGUAGCGAGAGGCGUGCGAGAAACACGCCCGUCGAAAGCCCAAGGUUUCCUGGGGAAGGUUCAUCCACCCAGGGUAAGUCGGGGCCUAAGCCGAGGACAGAAGUCGUAGGCGAUGGACAGCAGGUGGAGAUUCCUGCACUACCGGAAAGAAUGAAGCAGUGACACAGAAGGAUAGCUCAAGCGCGGUGAUGGUCAACUGCGUGAAAGUGUCGAGUGUGGGUUGUAGUGAAGUACGCGACCCGUGAAGCAUGAGGCAUGAGAGGACCGAAAUUAGAGUAGGGAAGUGAGCGAUUUCACGCUGGCGAGAAAAGCUGCUAGUAUAUCUGAAGGUACCCGUACCGCAAACCGACGCAGGUGGGCGGGGUGAGAAUCCUGAGACGAACGGGAGAAUCCUUGUUAAGGAACUCGGCAAAAUGACCCCGUAACUUCGGGAGAAGGGGUGCCCCCUCCGGGGGGCCGCAGAGAAAAGGCUCAAGCGACUGUUUAGCAAAAACACAGGUAUCUGCGAAAGCGAGAGCUGACGUAUAGGUGCUGACACCUGCCCGGUGCUGGAAGGUUAAGGGGAACUGUCAUCGCAAGAGAAGCAGAGAACCGAAGCCCCAGUAAACGGCGGCCGUAACUAUAACGGUCCUAAGGUAGCGAAAUUCCUUGUCGGGUAAGUUCCGACCCGCACGAAUGGUGUAACGAUUUGAGCGCUGUCUCAACAAGGAGCCCGGUGAAAUUGAAGUAUGGGUGAAGAUGCCCAUUACCCGCGACUGGACGGAAAGACCCCGUAGAGCUUUACUGUACCCUGAUAUUGGAUUUCGGCAAUAGAUGCACAGGAUAGGUGGGAGACUGGGAAGCGAGUGUUUCGGCAUUCGUGGAGUCAUCGUUGGGAUACCACUCUUCUACUGCUGAAGUUCUAACAUUGACCCGUGAACCGGGCAAUGGACAAUGUCAGGCGGACAGUUUGACUGGGGCGGUCGCCUCCGAAAGAGUAACGGAGGCGCCCAAAGGUACCCUCAGAAUGGAUGGAAACCAUUCGAAGAGUGUAAAGGCAGAAGGGUGCCUGACUGCGAGAGUGACAAUUCGAGCAGAGACGAAAGUCGGGCUUAGUGAUCCGGCGGCAUUGAGUGGAAGAGCCGUCGCUUAACGGAUAAAAGCUACCUCGGGGAUAACAGGCUGAUCUCCCCCAA
rnacentral:rRNA from 1 species